rnacentral:rRNA from 1 species
AGAGUUUGAUCCUGGCUCAGAGCGAACGUUAGCGGCGGGCCUAACACAUGCAAGUCGGACGAGAAAAUCCUUCGGGAUGAGUACAGUGGCGCACGGGUGAGGAACGCGUAGGUAAUCUACCCUCUGGCGGGGGACAACACUCCGAAAGGAAUGCUAAUACCGCAUAAGACCACGCAUACUACGGUACGAGUGGUAAAAGGCGCCUCAAAGCGUCACCAGAGGAUGAGCCUGCGUCCCAUCAGCUAGUUGGUGAGGUAACGGCUUACCAAGGCGAAGACGGGUAGCUGGUCUGAGAGGAUGAUCAGCCACACUGGCACUGAAACACGGGCCAGACUCCUACGGGAGGCAGCAGUGAGGAAUAUUGGGCAAUGGGCGCAAGCCUGACCCAGCCACGCCGCGUGUGUGAUGAAGGCCUUCGGGUCGUAAAGCACUGUGGAGAGGGACGAAAACAUGCAGGAGGAAAUGCCUGCGUCUUGACGGUACCUCUUUAGCAAGCACCGGCUAACUCUGUGCCAGCAGCCGCGGUAAUACAGAGGGUGCAAACGUUGCUCGGAUUUACUGGGCGUAAAGCGCGUGUAGGCGGAUACGCAAGUCGGUUGUGAAAUCCCUGGGCUCAACCUAGGAACUGCAUCCGAAACUGUGUGUCUUGAGUAAUGGAGAGGGUGGCGGAAUUCCCGGUGUAGAGGUGAAAUUCGUAGAUAUCGGGAGGAACAUCUGUGGCGAAGGCGGCCACCUGGACAUUUACUGACGCUGAGACGCGAAAGCGUGGGGAGCAAACAGGAUUAGAUACCCUGGUAGUCCACGCCGUAAACGAUGAGAACUAUGUGCAGCGGAUAUUGACCUCUGCUGUGCCGUAGCUAACGCGUUAAGUUCUCCGCCUGGGGAGUACGGCCCGCAAGGCUAAACUCAAAGGAAUUGACGG